GAGACAGCAGCCGCCGCGGUAAUACAGAGGGUGCGAGCGUUAAUCGGAUUUACUGGGCGUAAAGCGUGCGUAGGCGGCUUCUUAAGUCGGAUGUGAAAUCCCUGAGCUUAACUUAGGAAUUGCAUUCGAUACUGGGAAGCUAGAGUAUGGGAGAGGACGGUAGAAUUCCAGGUGUAGCGGUGAAAUGCGUAGAGAUCUGGAGGAAUACCGAUGGCGAAGGCAGCCAUCUGGCCUAAUACUGACGCUGAGGUACGAAAGCAUGGGGAGCAAACAGGAUUAGAUACCCCGGUAGUCCCUGUCUCUUAUAC
rnacentral:rRNA from 1 species